rnacentral:rRNA from 1 species
UACGUAGGGUGCGAGCGUUGUCCGGAAUUAUUGGGCGUAAAGAGCUCGUAGGCGGUCUGUCGCGUCGAUCGUGAAAACUUGGGGCUUAACCCUGAGCUUGCGGUCGAUACGGGCAUGACUGGAGUUCGGCAGGGGAGACUGGAAUUCCUGGUGUAGAGGUGAAAUUCGUAGAUAUUCGCAAGAACACCAGUGGCGAAGGCGGCAUCCUGGACUGGUCCUGACACUCAGGAGCGAAAGCGUGGGGAGCGAUCCGG